rnacentral:lncRNA from 1 species
AGCAGAGGAAUGAAGUGAAUGGGCUUGUUUUGAAAGGAUUCUAUUUCACUUAUUGGUUGCUCAUGGCUUAGAACAACAGUGACUUGUUAUUCCCCCCAGUCCUGUGGGUUGACUGGGCCAUUCUUUGCUGGUUCCACCUGAGCUCAUUCAGAGAUGGACUGGCCUCAGCUGGGAUGCCUGGCCCUCUCUUUCCAUGAGGCCUUUCAUCCUCAAGGAGGCUACACCUGGUUGGGCUUCCUUCUAAGAUGGUGGCAGCAUUUCUGGAGAGCACACACUUAUUAAGCUUCUGCUUGCCUCAAUGUGCUAAGUCACAUUGCCAAACCCAGAGUCAAGGUGGGACUGUAUGUGGGUGUGGAUAUCAGAAGACGUGGUUUAUUAGGGGCAGUUAAUGUAACAAGCUACCACUCUGGCUGCUCUCUUGAGAAGAGACUUGAUGAAACGAAUGGCAGAGCAAGGAGGCCAAUUAAAGGGCUAUAUAGUAAUCCAGGUGGAACCUAAGCAGUUUGAUGAUGGACAGUGCAUGAGAUGUGGAAGAGAGGGGAGUUAAGGAGGACCCCCGGAUGUUUGCCUCCAGCACGGAGUUGCUAUAUACUGAGAAGGCUCCAUCCUCCGGAUUUAACAGGGCUCCCUUGGCCAUACAUAGUAUGUAUUUCACAUCCUCUCAAUCUGUUGCGAUGUUUUACCGCGUGCAUUUCACGGCGGAUCCUGAUUGUAAAUGGGUUGUAGAAACUUCAUUGGCUUCCUGUUUGUGACAUUUCUGAUGGAUGGUCCCUAUUUAUAGAGAACAGCGUGGCGUGUGCAAAGUUACACGGCUCCACGCCAUGCUUAAUGGAUUGGAAGGAGAGAGCUGGCGCUCCCACUGUGAAGAGAAUCAUCUGCUUCCUUUUCGUGCAGCAGUCAGAAAUGGCCGGUGAUGGAACCCAGGCUGUGAAAGGCCUGUGAGGCUGAGUCCAGUCCUGGCUCUUCCACACAGCUUCUGGGUUCCUGCAGAACUCAGUCCCAGGAAUAAUGCGGGGGCUUGCAGUGUUAAGGGCAUGGCUGCUGGGGUACACCAACAGAUGUGGAGCCCGCCCUGGGUCAUUUGGCGGUGUGUGUCCAGGGAAAAAAAAGAAAAACUCAGGGAGGAGGGUCAUCUGUAAGUCAUUGACUGAGGUUUAGAGACUGUGGCUUAUUCAUUCCUAACCCUAACGUCUAGUCCAAUGACUGGCACAUAUUGCUGAAUACAUGCUUAUUGACUGACUGCAUGAAUCUUACCUAAGGGAAUAGUGAUGCAGGAAUAUGAUGUAGGAAGAUGGCCUUGCAGGAGAAUGACCUUGAACAGAGGCUGACUUUGGCCUCAUCCCAUAUUCAGAUUCUUCUACGUGAGCCAACUGAUGAAGAUUGAAAAAUUCCACACAAUUGAUUAUCUGGAGCCAGGAAGAGGAGACAAAUGAUGCUUUGACUGAAUUCUGCAAGAUCUUUUAAAAUUAAUUCAGUUGCCAGUGGUUUGUGUGUGUAACUGCCAUCUUGGACCCAUGGGGACCAUUCUGAGCCCUAGAUCCAGGCUUUCAGAAGCUUUUCAGAGACCCCAUCUGGACUCCUCGUCUGCAGCUGCGGGGCCAUUAGAAGCUCGUCUGCUCUUGGCUUUCCAAACGGCUCCGUCGCUGGUCUGUCCCCACCAGUCGUUUCUCCCUCAAGUGGAACAAGCACCUUCUAAGUCUUUAUCUCCAAGACACACACCUCCACACCCUGCUAGACAGCUGAGACAAGGAAAGCUAAUUUUUCUCAGAGGACUUUUUCUAAAUGAGCAGAACCUGUGUUUCCGCUUCUUGUCUAAAAAGGUGUUCUUACUGAAUUCUAAAAGUAAAAGGGAUUUUCAAGGCUAUCUACUCCAACAUCCUUCCAGGGGCCACUUCUUUCAUUUAUCUUGUUAUUUAUUUAUUUAUUCAACAAAUAGACACAUAUUUACAAUAUAUAUGUGCAGCUAGGGAGAUAGAUGCCUGGCGGGCACAAUACCAGGCAUGAAGGGCCGCCAUGAUGGAUGAAACAGGCGCAGCUCAGUUAACACUCACGUAGCCAAUAUGGUGGGAGAAACAGACAUUAAAUAAAUUACAGCAAAAAUAAAUCUAUGUUCACAAAGCGUGCUUUGUGCCAUCAAACACAUAAAGGAGCUAUGCGGAGGUGAGGCAGGUAGACCUCACCUGUGCAGGGCGGGUGUUCUUUAAGCUGAGAUAGGAAGGACAGGUAGAGAGGAGAAUUAACACUGUGGGAGCAGAGCGGGAGACGUCACUGUGAGCUGCGGAUGGUGGGGAAGUGGCGUUUGAGCUGGGUGUUGUAAGGGUGCUGGAGAAGCAAACAUCUUGCCUUCUGGAGAAUGGUUAAUGAAAACAAGUGCUCACUCUCUUAAUUAAAAGUAAAAUCCCCCACAAACGAAGGCACACCACUCCUGCAGCUGCACUUCUGGGCUCCUGGGGCUGUGGCUGGUGCACAGUGCGUGGAGCGAGAGGGGUGAGGGGUGAAGCACUUCCAUUUGGGCUUUUCCACCCUCCGUGCCUGGCCUCCCCUGGCCCCCGACCUGAGGAUGCAAUGCUGACAACUCCAGUGAAGGGCUUCCAUCCUGUCUGCUCCAUUCACCAUGAAAGGCAAUCCCUUGGCCCCAGAAGAGCUCUGACCCACUUCCCUGCUUGUGAUAUUGAGAGAGGCAAUGGGACAGAUUGGAAAGAGCUGAAAGAACCUACACCAUGUGGGACUUCUACAGAAUUUUCCCCCUUUUUUGGAGAUCUUGCACUUUUCUAAGAGAUGACAUAGUACAGCUGUUAAGAGUAUAGGCCGUGGAGAUUGGGUUCAAAUCCUGUUUUUGUCACAUGCUUGCUGUCUAACCUUGAUGGGGCUGUUUGCCCUCCCUCUGCCUGUUUCAUGAUAUAUAAUGUAGGAAUAUAAUGUUACUUUUCUCAUUGCGUUGUUGUAAAGAUUAAAACAUUUAAUUUAUAUGAAGUCCUUAGAGCAGAGUCUGAGCUACAGAAAGCACCCUAAAUGCUGCUCAUUUGUUCACAUAUUAUCCCUUAACCAUAUGGAACCAUCAAAGGAUUUUCAGCAGGGGAAGGACAUGGCCAGCUCUGCACUUUAGAAAGAUUCCUGCCAGGAAGUGAAGAGAGGUGAUAUUGAGCCGGCACGAGGUCCCUUAAGAA